rnacentral:rRNA from 1 species
UACGAAGGGGGCUAGCGUUGCUCGGAAUCACUGGGCGUAAAGCGCACGUAGGCGGCUUUUUAAGUCAGGGGUGAAAUCCUGGAGCUCAACUCCAGAACUGCCUUUGAUACUGAGAAGCUUGAGUCCGGGAGAGGUGAGUGGAACUGCGAGUGUAGAGGUGAAAUUCGUAGAUAUUCGGAAGAACACCAGUGGCGAAGGCGACAUACUGGUCCGUUACUGACGCUGAGGCUCGAAAGCGUGGGGAGCAAACAGG